GCCCCCUUAGCUCAGUCGGCCAGAGCGACGCACUCGUAAUGCGUAGGUCAUCGGUUCAAUUCCGAUAGGGGGCU
rnacentral:tRNA from 1 species